UGGCACGUGGAUGCGAAGCGCUUUAGAAGUAUGAUCUUAUUCGCACCAUACAGCAAUCAAGGAGCUAUUAUUACUCCCAUUUAAUAGGCAGGAAACCGAAGCUUAGAGAAAUGAAAUAACGUGCCUCAGUUCACACCCAGGUCCACAUGAUGCCUAAGCCCAUGACGCCAACCUCCAUUUACAAAAGCCCCUCAAUCUUGAUGUGCAUCAGGCAGGAACAGAGAGACAGCAAAAAGCAGAUAAUGAAAGCAAUAUUAAUAGAAACGGCUAACGCGGAUCACGCACACUUUUUAAGUGAUACACACAUUCUAUUUCAUUUAAUUAUCGUUACAACCCUAAGAGGUAAAUUCUAUUUAUCCCCUUGAACAGACGAGUAAAAAGAGACACAAGAACGUAAGAAACUUGUCCAAGGUCACCUAGUUAGUAAGUUGUGGAGCAAGGAACCAGAUACGAAAAUGUACAAAUUACCUAAAGUUAUUUUUCUUAAAAAAAAAAUCCCAAAGAUCUUGUUUUUGCCUAAUUUGCCCCUACUUAGCAAAAAUUGGACCGGAACAAUCUAAAAGGCAACCAAUUCUGGUUAAUUGAAUAUUCUAGUUAACGGAGACUUUAUCAGCAAUCUGAUGAUGUCCUGAGCCUGGGCUUUCUUACCUGUGAAAAGAGGAGGUGGGGCAGGAUAAAGAUGGUUCAUGGUCCCCACCGGGAAUUCACUCGGAUGCUCUGUGAUCGCUCAUCAUUCACCACGCCCCAGUGUACUGAGAGGCAGUUGACGCCCUCUGAGUUGUGCCACAUUGUGCCGGUUUGUUAAUGCCACCUUGACCCACUUCUCAGUGGACCUGUCAGCACUGUCCAUACUCUGGGCCCUGCUAAAUAGCAGAGAAGAUGGCCUAAGUGUGUCUCUCCCACCCUGGGCUGUGGGGCUGGGCAUUCCUUCAGUACAGUUGCCCCCCUUAUCCUCAGGGGAUAUGUUUCAGGGCCCCCAGGGGAUGCCCGGAACCAGGGACAAUGCCACACCCUAUAUAUGCUAUGUUUUUUUCCUAUACAUACCUAUGAUAAAGUUUGAUUUAUAAAUUAGGCACAGUAAGAGAUUAACAGCAACUAAUAAUAAAAUAGAACAAUCAGAACAAUCUACAGUAAUAAAAGUUACCAUAGGUCUUGGUAACCUCAGCAUAUAAGUUUUUUUCUUUCCUUAUCAAGUCGAGAACUUUCACCUUUUCACAUAAAAGAAGCAUUCACGGCUUCUCUUUGGCAUACCCGAAUAGCCAGCAUCACUACCCUUGUGCUUUGGGGCCAUUAUUAAAUAAAAUAAGAGUUCCUUGCAGACAAGCACUGCCAUAUCCAACGGUCGAUCUGACGACCCAGACAGCUACUAAGUGACAAUGGGUGGUGGCGUCUACAGUGUGGAUCUGCUGGAUAAAGGAAUGAGUCAGGUCCCCAGUGGGAUGGUUCCAGACAUCAUCCCACUACUCAGAAUGGUGAGCAAUGUAAAACUUAUGAAUUAUUUCUGGAAUCUUCCAUUUAGUAUUCUUGGAACUUGGUUGACUGCAGGUAACGGAAACCACAGAAAGUAAAACUUGGAUAAGGGGGGACGACCGGACUAACCUAAGGAGCCAGCUGUCAUUCACACCUGCCGUGGGCACCUUCGCCCUUCCCACAACUGAGCCCUCCCCCACCAGUCACUCCCUUGGAAACCGCUCUUUGCUUCUCAACAUUUCCUGGUGUCAAAUGGGUGCUGACUGUUUACCAAGCGAGGAGUUACGCUGAGGAGUUCUGCUGGUUUGGCUUGAAUGCCCCGGCUGUGGGGCACUCGUGUGGAGAGCUGGAGGCGGCCUCGAGUUGCUAAAACGGGGUGGAAACAUGCAAGCAGCAGCUGUCACUUCCAACCUCAGCAGUCUCCAUCAUUACUUCGGUCUUUUCCUCCCUCUCCUCCCAGUAGGUUUUCUGUUAAUGGAUUCAGAGAAUUCAAUCUGCUUUUUCCCCUCUAUGGGGCAAGUCACUUGUCGCCAGAGUUUUACAGAUGGAGGCAGAGAAAUGUGAAAUGACUAGCCCCAAGCUAUCUUCCCACAGAGCACUCCCAGACCCGCCCUGCAGCGUGGCACUCUGGGACCGUGGAUGUGUCCCACAGCAGGGAGCAUCACCACCUUGAAGAACAACUCCCUAGGGCUCCUAAAGGGACCAGGAGACGGCGCCCAGCUCGCUGGGGACCCGUGCUUCGGAGUUUUCUUGUGGGAUACUAAAGCUGCCUUUGACAUCAGUUUAGAUUGUGGGAAUAGCUAAAUUUACUUCCAAGUCAACUGGAUUAGCACUGAAGAGAUUUUCCUUGUGUAAACCCAAUUUUAGGGUAAUGCACGAGCUAAAUGCGGAGCAAGGGCUGAGACACAGAUUUCCUGUGCUGUCAAGUCUUGCAGAUCUCAGCAGAUAGCAAAGCUAUUAUCCCAGCAGAAGUGGAAGCAUCCUCAAACCCUGUCAGAUGGCAGCUCAGACAAAAAUUACAACCAAAUGUAUUUUUACACUGAUUCGCUUGCUUAAGUCUGGCUCCUAAAAGCAAAACAUUUCCUUAGAGGAGGAGUUCAGUAAAAACUCCAGAAUGCUACCGCCGGGGGAAUCUCCCGGGACUCCAGCGACUGACAGCAGCGGAUUUCUGAGAGAAGAAAGAGACGAGGAUUUGAAACAAGUUUCUGAAUGGCAUCAUUGUCUUGUCUUUUUUUUUUCCUCUGAGUUUCUUAGCUGGCAUUUUGGAGGAAAGGAUUUGAUCAGAAAUUCAGAAAUUACCUGGGCUCACAAAAAUACGGUGGGAAAGGAUUUUGUUUUAAUGGUUUCAUGUUUAAAGGUCUCUCCCCCACUCCUCCUAAGGUAUUUCCUUAAUCCUAUUGACUCUUGGCUCCUUCAGCCUACCCUGCAUUCUGCUUCUAAGACGCAUGGGCCUUCCGAGGAGCUCGUAAGAGUUAAAACUUCCCUGCCUUUGUUUCUCAUCUGGUAAAAUGAGGGAGAACAAAGCUUAAUCCUCCUAAGGGGAGUGGGGGAAUACACAGUCAAUGAACACCAUAUGAUUUUCCAUAAAGAUACUCUGGAACUAGAUUGAGUACUAACCUUGAAAUUAAAAACAAAAACAGCCCUGGUUAGUUAUCUUGUUUUUCACGCAAGAAACAAGCAGAAUAAUGAGAAUGGGAAUUAGGACACCUUUCUAAUGCCAGCUGGGAUAUGCACUAGUUGCCUGUCUUUGGGGCUUGAAGUGAGACAGAUCUGAAUUCAAAUCCCAGCUCUACACCUGAUAGGCUGUGUGACCUUGGGAAAGUAACUUGCUGUCUCUGACCUUCAGGUUCCUCAAUGUCAAAUGGAGGAAGUAGUACUUGCCUCUAGUAGUCUCUCUUCCCACAUUACCAUAUAUUUACGUGCAUAAAAUCUGGUUAAAAUCGACAAUAUGGAUGAAAGGAUAAUGGCUGGCUUUUAGAAUAGGCCUCGGAGGAAGUGAGCUGUCUUCAGUGCUUUGGAUACAAGAAGGAUUAAUCCACUGAUUCUAACUACACUUGCUCAGUUGUUCAAUCACUCCACAAAUACUUAAUUAAGUGUUUGUACGUGCCUGUUGAACACAUGGAAAAUGCUUGGCCUCAGGGAACAGUCAGGCAGGACCCCUGGGGAGUAGGGAGAAGGGCAUGUGACCUGGUCCUGAGGGUGUGGCGAAGGCUUCCCAGAGACAGUGAUAUGUCAACUGAGAGCUGAAGGGGAGGAGCAGUGGUGAGAAUGUUCCAGAUGCAAAGACCAGCAAUGUGCAGACUGUGGGGCGAGAGAGAACCGAGCGUAGUCCAGGAUUCUAGAGCGUAGAGAGGGCGUGGGGACAGGGAUCCGGGCAGAAGAGCCUAGAGUGGCAAAGAAGCGCAGGACAGAUCAGGAACGACUUUCCAAAUCAAGGAAAGGAGCCGGUACUUUAUCCCGAGGGCGAAGGAAAACCCGGGAAGAUUUUAAGCAACACAAUCAUUUUGCAGCUCAGAGAGUCGCUUUACAGCCCAGAGCUCAUGGCAACUGGCUUGACUUCCUCGUAACCCAAGGGCAACCUCCAGAAGGCAGGUCUGUAAUGAUCAUGACCCAACUGUGACCCAAGCACAGGACACGACGGGGACAGGUUUCUGAGAACAGGAGGGCUCAGACCUACGAGUGAUAAGUAAGUGCUUACGGUGAUGACUUCAGUGCUUAAAAUCGAACGAGUCCCUCUGAAUCUCUGGUCCUGCCAGACCCGAGGGACCAACGAUUUGCAGUUGCAGCCCAUAUUCUAAACGCCGCUCUGAGAUAUUAUUUGGUGGUAGCAGAUGGAAACGGGUUUCAAGUACGUACAUGAAAGACCCGUAGGGUUACAUCUGGUCUGAGUCACAUCUGCCAGCAGGGCCAGAGCAAGACCCUUGGAGGGCAAGGCCGAAAAAAGACAACAUAUUCCUCACCCAUCCCACCCCACCAUAUAAUGAAUGAAUGAAUGAAAGGAAGGAAGAAAUGCAAGCAAGUUCAACAGAGCUCUCCUUUCCCCCCAUGAUGUCCACUGCAAUGCCUUUAAAACAUCCCAUUCCUUCCCAGGGAUUGUCUGUAAUGCUCCUGGAGGGCUAUCCCCUAAGGAAGUACUCACUUUGCCUACUGGGAAAUCUGGGACCCGCUGCGAGACUGCGGUUGGGAAGAAGUCUCCCUCUUUAGAAAUUACUUUCAUUCGACACCACGCAUCCCAAAAGCUUCGAAGGUUCAUCUGUUCCCUGAGCGGAGCCAUCGCCCCAGUACUCUCUAUCUGCCCCGUGUCUACUGCAGUUGCUUGGCACACAGCAGGCGUUGCAAAAUAAUGACUGUCGACUGAAUGGAAUAUUCUAGUUUAUUACAUUUUCUAGCAGGAGGUGAAAGUUACGUAGAACUCUUCAGGUUGAAAUUUUUCUAAAAUGUUUAAGUCUGUUCUCUAGUUGACUGUGACCUCCUUGAGGGCAGGAAAUAACGUCCUUCCAUCAGUAUUGGGGCUCUUCCUGAACCCCUUUCUCCCACUGUGCUUAGCACAACAUAUGGCAUAAAGCAAAGAAUAAAAUUUGUCGCUCUA